rnacentral:ncRNA from 1 species
GGAAAUCUUCAGGGCAAGGUGCGAAAACGAUGGUUUUCAAUUCCUGACCGGCGGUAAAGUCCGCGAGCCUUCGGGCCGAACUGGUGAGAUUCCAGUACCGACAGUAUAGUCUGGAUGAAAGAAGAAGCGA